rnacentral:misc_RNA from 1 species
CGGUUAUGUAUUUUCAAUUCUGGGGAGCGACAAUAGAUUUGUUACGAUUAUCUUACCGUACCGCCUCUCCCGUUUUGUUGUUAAUAUUUCUGGUAAAGUCCAAUUCUUACGAGGCGGUGUGUACACCCGGGAACGUAUUGUCGAGCUGAUCCGGCGAUUACUAUGAUUUCACUAUCUUAGCCGAGUUGCAUCAGAUCUGACUACAUGAUCGGCUCGGGAUUGGCUUCGCGACCCUCUGCCUGACCAUGGCACGACGUGCGAGCUCCCGGAACAGAAAUACGGCACCUGACGUCAUCCCAAUCUUCCCGGCUUUGCGUCAAUACAGCCUCAUUAUGCCCUUUCGUAGCAAUCCAUCGACAAGGGUUGCGCUUCGUUGCGGGACUUAACAUUCACGACACAUACGACAGCCAUGCAGCUCACCUUUGUAAACUGAAUUUGCAGAAAAUAACUCCCGCUGGGAUCGUCAAGGGUAGUAGUUUUGCGCUGUACCGAAUUAACUAGAAUAUUCACCGCUUGUGUGGGUCCUCGUCAAUUUUCGAGUUUAACUUGCGACCGCCUGGGGAGUACGGUCGAUUAAAACUCAAAGGAAUUGACGGGGACUCGCACAAGCGGUGGAUGAUGAUUAAUUCGAUGCAACGCGAAAAACCUUACCUACCCUUGACAUGUCUGGAAUCCCGAAGAGAUUUGGGAGUGCUCGCAAGAGAACCGGAACACAGGUGCUGCAUGGCUGUCGUCAGCUCGUGUCGAGAUGUUGGGUUAAGUCCCGCAACGAGCGCAACCCCUUGUCAUUAGUUGCUACGAAAGGGCACUCUAAUGAGACUGCCGGUGACAAACCGGAGGAAGGUGGGGAUGACGCUGGUCUCUACGGCCCUAUGGGUAGGGCUUCACAUCGUCAUACAAUGGUCGGGACAGAGGGUCGCCAACCCGCGAGGGGGAGCCAAUCCCAGAAACCCGAUCGUAGUCCGGAUCGCAGUCUGCAACUCGACUGCGUGAAGUCGGAAUCGCUGUAAUCGCGGAUCAGCAUGUCGCGGUGAAUACGUUCCCGGGUCUUGUACACACCGCCCGUCACAUCAUGGGAGUGGGUUUUACCAGAAGUAGUUAGCCUAACCGUAAGGAGGGCGAUUACCACUAGGAUUCAUGACUGGGGUGAAGUCGUAACAAGGUA